rnacentral:rRNA from 1 species
AGCUCCAAUAGCGUAUAUUAAAGUUGUUGCAGUUACAAAGCUCGUAGUCGGAUUUGUGGUGUAUGGCUUCACUAGUUGUAGUUGAAAUGCUUGGUUGCCAUCCUUGGUUGGAAUCUGUGUGGCAUUAGGUUGUCGUGCAGGGGAUAUCCAUCUUUUCCUGUGAAAAAAUAGAGUGUUCAAAGCAGGCUUAUAGCAUUAAAUAGAUUAGCAUGGAAUAAUGAGAUAGGACCUUGGUACUAUUUUGUUGGUUUGGGCACCAAGGUAAUGAUUAAUAGGGACAGUUAGGGGUAUUUGUAUUCCAUUGUCAGAGGUGAAAUUCUUGGAUUUUUGUAAGACGAACUAAUGCAAAAGCAUUUACCAAGGAUGUUUUCA